UUUAGGAAGUGUGAGCACUACGCACACACACAACUAAAAGUCGUCUGCUUUAACGGCAUAAUUACACAGUAUUUUGGACAUCUGUGUUGCUGAAUCUUUUGCAAUUUGUUCAAUUAAUAAUGGAGAAGUCACAGUAGAAAGAUGGAGGUGGGAAGCUUUAGCCUUUAGCCACACAAACACACGGUGAUUUCUUGUUUAAAAUUCCCGCAGACAUUGAUCCCGACUACAUGUCAACCAGCAGGGUUUCGGUGAGAAAAUUGUGGUUAAAAAGUCGCCACUUACCGGAUAUCAGCUGAGCUUGUGGCUCCCAUGGGCUGCCGUCGACGUCCCCGAGACACUGCGCGUCAACACCCGGCCGGCCGUAGACGUACACUUCCGACUAUCAGCGAGGAUGGAUGCACACCAGCAGGGCCACUCAUCCAUCCACAACAUGUGCAACAACGUUCAAACCUGCGCUCUCAACAUUGUCAUCCCAUUACACCAGUGGUUCUUAACCUUGUUGGAGGCAGUGCACCACUGUUCUCCCGUCUCCGCCAUCAUACUGCUCCUGCCACUUGGCCAGCCGCCUGACCAGCUGCAAGAUGGAGCGCUUGGACAGGGGAGUGUCCCUGUAGGCCGGCCAACCAAUGAACUGGAAGUGCUGCACCAGGCGAUAGCCGUCCUGAGGCUGAGAAAAAGGCGAGGCAGGUGUUGAAACGGAACAUUGGAAAAGUCAUGAAACAGAACAAUCUAAGUCCACUCUGCUGAUUGUUGACAAAUAUACCAGGUGCUAGUUUAUGUAAUAAUCUAAAUCUAAAUCUAACAAUAAUUGCAAAAUUGGCCAUGACACAAAUGCAUGCGAUUUCUAGGGAUGCUGUGGAAAGGGCAAAAAGUAACCAAGCAAAACAAAAAUUAAAGUACAUAUUUUUUGUAAAAUUUGGGGGUGCUUUCAGCUGGACUCGGGCGAACCCCAGCAGGGCCUGCUGCUCGUUGAAAAGAGCAAUACUUUAUCGAACAAAGCAAUCUAAAGAGGUCUGUGUGGUCAUGGAUUUUUUGUUUUACGAAUGGGAGUGUAAAAUAAAUUCUCGGUUUAUCGGAAUUUUAUUUUGAAAUACAAAAUAUACAAUUGAAAAAUAAAACCUUAUUUUUUAGUGCU